AGAUCGCAGGCUGCAACCCGCCUGCGUGAAGUCGGAAUCGCUAGUAAUCGCGGAUCAGCAUGCCGCGGUGAAUACGUUCCCGGGCCUUGUACACACCGCCCGUCACACCAUGAGAGUCGGGAACACCCGAAGUCCGUAGCCUAACCGCAAGGAGGGCGCGGCCGAAGGUGGGUUCGAUAAUUGGGGUGAAGUCGUAACAAGGUAUC
rnacentral:rRNA from 1 species